GCCAGUGUGGUGUAGUGGUUUGAAUGUUGGACUAAACUCUGGAGACCAGGGUUCGAUUCCCAGGGUUUGGCC